UACGAAGGGGGCUAGCGUUGUUCGGAAUUACUGGGCGUAAAGGGCGCGCAGGCGGUCUUCCAAGUCAGAUGUGAAAGCCCCGGGCUCAACCUGGGAACUGCAUUUGAGACUGGAGGACUAGAGUUCGGGAGAGGAGAGCGGAAUUCCCAGUGUAGAGGUGAAAUUCGUAGAUAUUCGGAAGAACACCAGUGGCGAAGGCGGCUCACUGGACCGGUAUUGACGCUGAGGUGCGAAAGCGUGGGGAGCAAACAGG
rnacentral:rRNA from 1 species